UGCCUUGCAUGUGAUACAACACCUGUGGCUGUACAUAUUGAUGGCAACAAGAAACUGUAUCGUUACAACAAAGUUGGGAGAGGGAUCAGAAACUCAUAUUAUUCUGGUGGUAUCUUCGCUUGUGACAAAGAAGUUCAAGAUCACGUUUCCACUAUUCAGAACCUUAAAACUCAAAGUAGCCAUAUGUGUGGAGUGUCGACAUUGAAAGCUGCCAAAAAUAAACCUGUUUCAUUUAGAAGUUUGGAUGAAACCGGCAUAAGCAUGGCUUCCUGUCGACAUGGAAUUAUUCUUGCUGCAUUAAAUAUGUAU